rnacentral:rRNA from 1 species
AGUGAACGCUGGCGGUAGGCCUAACACAUGCAAGUCGAACGGCAGCACAGUAAGAGCUUGCUCUUACGGGUGGCGAGUGGCGGACGGGUGAGGAAUACAUCGGAAUCUACUUUUUCGUGGGGGAUAACGUAGGGAAACUUACGCUAAUACCGCAUACGACCUACGGGUGAAAGCAGGGGAUCUUCGGACCUUGCGCGAUUGAAUGAGCCGCUGUCGGAUUAGCUAGUUGGCGGGGUAAAGGCCCACCAAGGCGACGAUCCGUAGCUGGUCUGAGUGGAUGAUCAGCCACACUGGAACUGGGACACGGUCCAGACUCCUACGGGAGGCAGCAGUGGGGAAUAUUGGGCAAUGGGCGCAAGCCUAAUCCAGCCAUACCGCGUGGGUGAAGAAGGCCUUCGGGUUGUAAAGCCCUUUUGUUGGGAAAGAAAAGCAGCAGGUUAAUACCCCGCUGUUCUGACGGUACCCAAAGAAUAAGCACCGGCUAACUUCGUG